rnacentral:lncRNA from 1 species
UCAGACUCCGCCCCGGCCCCCCUCCCUUCACUAGUCCCUUCCAUCGGCCUCCAGGGACCCUCCCCAGCCCAGACGCUGCAGCUAAGCUGCAGACCGCCGCAGCUUGGCCACUCUUCCGAUUCCUCCUCCCGUCGCACUCAGGCGCCACCUGGCCCUCUCCGGGGCAGGUAGACCACUCCGCCUCUUCCUCCACCGCUGGCCUCUUCCUCCAACCAGCAACGUCCAGAGCCGCCUCCUAAGCCCUCAGACGCUCUUCCAGACUCUGUCACCUUUGCCACGCCCUUCCCCAGCCCCCAGCUCCUCUCCCAGCCCUUAUGCUGCCCUCGGGCUUCGAUCCUCAGGCUGACCUUCUGUUAUGGACCACGCCUCCACCCCUAUCAAACCCUCCCGAGUCCCCUUCCCACCGGGCCAGUUCUGACUUUAUUGCAUUGCUUUAUUGCCCCCAGAGGUGCGGUCCUUUACCUCCUUCUGCCCUCACGAGACCCCCUAGCUGACCCCCAACCAGGAACUGAGUCCACAGCCCACAGAUGCCCUCGCUGCCCUCACGCUUCCCAGUGGAACUGGGCUCCGUGCGGGAUCCAGAUGCCCAGGUGGGCCGUCUGCAUCGUCUGGCGGUGGCCGGCGGCCCAAGCUGGGGUCUGGCCAGGCUCCUGCGGAGAGGUGAGGACCUGGCUCCUGGGUG